rnacentral:rRNA from 1 species
GACGAACGCUGGCGGCGUGCCUAAUACAUGCAAGUAGAACGCUGAAGAGAGGAGCUUGCUCUUCUUGGAUGAGUUGCGAACGGGUGAGUAACGCGUAGGUAACCUGCCUUGUAGCGGGGGAUAACUAUUGGAAACGAUAGCUAAUACCGCAUAACAAUAGGUGACACAUGUCAUUUAUUUGAAAGGGGCAAUUGCUCCACUACAAGAUGGACCUGCGUUGUCUUAGCUAGUAGGUGAGGUAACGGCUCACCUAGGCGACGAUACAUAGCCGACCUGAGAGGGUGAUCGGCCACACUGGGACUGAGACACGGCCCAGACUUCUACGGGAGGCCGCAGUAGGGAAUCUUCGGCAAUGGGGGCAACCCUGACCGAGCCACGCCGCGUGAGUGAAGAAGGUUUUCGGAUCGUAAAGCUCUGUUGUAAGUCAAGAACGAGUGUGAGAGUGGAAAGUUCACACUGUGACGGUAGCUUACCAGAAAGGGACGGCUAACUACGUG